rnacentral:rRNA from 1 species
CCACGUUCGGAUUGCGGCCUGCAACUCGGCUGCAUGAAGCUGGAAUCGCUAGUAAUCGCGGAUCAGAACGCCGCGGUGAAUACGUUCCCGGGUCUUGUACACACCGCCCGUCACACCAUGGGAGCCGGAAACGCCCGAAGCCAGCGGCCCAACCGCAAGGGGGGGAGCUGUCGAAGGCGGGGCCGGUGACCGGGGUGAAGUCGUAACAAGGUACC